UUAAAAUGGCUUCCUAGGAGGUAAGAGUUGAACUGUUGUCAAAUCGAGUUCCUUGUCUCUUGAACAUUUACAUGAUGGUUUAAGGAAGAGAGGAAGGACACAGAGAUGCCAACCAAGUUGUGGAAACAGUAGAGGAGAUUAAUACUUAGAGAACUGCGGCCAAAGGAUGGCAGCGGAUUGUCCUUGUCAAAUGGUUCUUAUUUAUGGUGGCACCAGCCGGGUAGUGCAGAAGAGUCUGAGAAGGAUUGACAUUAAACAGUAUGCUCAGCCUUGACCCGGUUUAGUCACUUCCAAGGAACCCAAGAGCACCAAGGAAACAUUUUCCAACAAUUGGAUCUUGGAAACAAGCAUGGAGAAAAUGAUUACAUGAAAUCAAAACACCAUCAGCUUCCUCUGAAUUCUACCUUAUGUUUUAGCGUCUCUAUGGCUCCCUGGCUUGGAAUAAUUUCAAGCUCCUACUGGUUUGUGGCAAGACAUCUUCUUCAUCUCUAAAUACAUUUUUCCUUUAAAAAAAA